AGAUGCUUCAGUUAACUGCUGAAGUGCACCACACUUAGUCGCAGCAAGAGCAGCACUGUCAUCGUUACCAUUACAAAUCAGAUGAAGAAUUUGGGGAAUGCUAGGGCCUGAAUCUGAAAAGGAGUUGAUCUUUACAGCUGGAGGCUUUUGAUGAUUAAGGUCCAAGACAAGUGAGGCCUCAUUAUCAUGCUGAACGCCUUCAGCAUCCACCAAGACUUCAGAACUCAUCAGUCCAUUAAUGUCCAGAUGAGUAGACAAAUCAUCAAAAUUUAUGCUGUUGUCCAUGUUUUCAAGAUGACUGGCCUGGGAUACCACAUUCUCUGUGCUAGGAUUAACCAUGAAAGUCAAUUCCCUAGUUUUUGAACCAUGAAUAUCAACAUUAGAAUUAUUCUCAAAAUUCUGAUACAAAUUCUCCUGAGUUUCAUCAGAAGCUGCUUGGCCAA
rnacentral:misc_RNA from 1 species